rnacentral:rRNA from 1 species
GAUGAACGCUGGCGGCGUGCUUAACACAUGCAAGUCGAACGGAAAGGCUCCUGCUUGCAGGGGUACUCGAGUGGCGAACGGGUGAGUAACACGUGGGUGAUCUGCCCUGCACUUCGGGAUAAGCCUGGGAAACUGGGUCUAAUACCGGUUAGGACCACAUUUUGGAUGGUGUGGUGGAAAGUUUUUCGGUGUGGGAUGAGCUCGCGGCCUAUCAGCUUGUUGGUGGGGUAAUGGCCUACCAAGGCGUCGACGGGUAGCCGGCCUGAGAGGGUGUACGGCCACAUUGGGACUGAGAUACGGCCCAGACUCCUACGGGAGGCAGCAGUGGGGAAUAUUGCACAAUGGGCGCAAGCCUGAUGCAGCGACGCCGCGUGGGGGAUGACGGCCUUCGGGUUGUAAACUCCUUUCGCUAGGGACGAAGCGCAAGUGACGGUACCUGGAGAAGAAGCACCGGCUAACUACGUG